rnacentral:rRNA from 1 species
UACGUAGGGUGCGAGCGUAAUCGGAAUUACUGGGCGUAAAGCGUGCGCAGGCGGUGAUGUAAGACCGAUGUGAAAUCCCCGGGCUAACCUGGGAACUGCAUUGGUGACUGCAUCGCUCGAGUAUGGCAGAGGGGGGUAGAAUUCCACGUGUAGCAGUGAAAUGCGUAGAGAUGUGGAGGAAUACCGAUGGCGAAGGCAGCCCCCUGGGUCAAUACUGACGCUCAUGCGACGAAAGCGUGGGGGAGCAAACAGGG